AGGAUGAACGCUGGCGGCGUGCCUAAUACAUGCAAGUCGAGCGGUAAGGUCCCUUCGGGGAUACACGAGCGGCGGACGGCUGAGUAACACGUAGGAACGUACCCCAAAGUGAGGCAUAAGCACCAGAAAUGGUGUCUAAUACCGCAUGUGGCCCUCGGGCUAAAGCUCCGGCGCUUUGGGAACGGCCUGCGCAUGAUUAGCUUGUUGGUGAGGUAAUAGCUCACCAAGGCGAUGAUCAUUAGCUGGCCUGAGAGGAUGACCAGCCAGACUGGAACUGAGAACGGUCCAGACUCCUACGGGAGGCAGCAGUAGGGAAUUUCCACAAUGGACGAAAGUCUGAUGGAGCAACGCCGCGUGCAGGAUGAAUGUCUUCGGAUUGUAAACUGCUUUUUAUAUGUGACGAUUAUGACGGUAGCAUAUGAAAUAAGGAUCGCUAACUCCGUGCCAGCAGCCGC
rnacentral:rRNA from 1 species